rnacentral:rRNA from 1 species
UGGGGAAUCUUGCGCAAUGGGCGAAAGCCUGACGCAGCGACGCCGCGUGGGGGAUGAAGGCCCUCGGGUUGUAAACCCCUUUCGGCAGGGACGAAGCGAACGUGACGGUACCUGCAGAAGAAGCCUCGGCUAACUACGUGCCAGCAGCCGCGGUAAGACGUAGGAGGCGAGCGUUGUCCGGAUUCAUUGGGCGUAAAGAGCGCGCAGGCGGCUUGGUAAGUCGGAUGUGAAAACCCGGGGCUCAACCCCGGACGUGCACCCGAUACUGCCCGGCUAGAGGUAGGUAGGGGAGAUCGGAAUUCCUGGUGUAGCGGUGAAAUGCGCAGAUAUCAGGAGGAACACCGGUGGCGAAGGCGGAUCUCUGGGCCUUACCUGACGCUCAGGCGCGAAAGCUAGGGGAGCGAACAGG